GGUUAAUGAAGAUUAGAAAUUAUGGGCAUUGAGGUCAUUCAAAUGUGAUUGGCUGUGAAUUUUGGCUCCAUCUACUCCCCCAUGGGUCACCUGAUCCCCUUAUAAAUAGAACACAGACUUUCUUAAACAGCUCCAAAGUCCUCUUUUUUUUCUACAAAAUCUCCUCUUUGAAGCCUCUUCUUGUACAACCUAUAAUCAUGAGAACUUACAGCUUCUUACUUCCACUACUGUUUUUCACAAUUAUUUUAGCAGGUCCAGUUCAUCUUUGUACUUGCAGGCAUCUCGACUUUGCUACCAAUCAAGAACCAGAUCGAACAAUAAACACCAUAAAGUUCCCUUUUUCCAUUUUCAUAUCAUCGUUCUGCUGUUUCUCGCUCCCUGCAAUCUCAAGAUUACAAGGCCAGCCCAUUAUAUGCUGCAUCCAAUAAGCUUGUUCCAGGUGGACCAAAUCCACUUCAUAAUUGAUCUGAUUUUCUACUUGUGUAUUUUGUAGGUAGGCAAAAGAAAAAGAAUUCUGUUUGGUUCUUGGAAAGAAUUGAAAGGAAAGAAAAGAAAGAGAUAUUCUCAAAAUUGCAAUUUUAGUUCUUUCCUUCAUUCUUUUCAAGAACCAAAUUUUUACUUCGAGUUGUAAAAACUAAAUCCAUCAUGGAUUACUACUGUAAAGCACAUUAUCAAUUUAUAUAAUUACCAUGAUUAUGUUGCAUUUUUACUUGAGUAGAAAUCGUGAAAACUUUCGUACCCUUUAACAGUAUAUUUGGUUGACCUAGUAGUUGCAAGAUUCCCACAUUUGAUUAUCCUUUUUAAGCCAAG
rnacentral:lncRNA from 1 species